rnacentral:rRNA from 1 species
CCCUUAGAUGUUCUGGGCCGCACGCGUGCUACACUGAGUGGAUCAGCGGGUCAGGUUGCGCGAAAGUGUUUCCUAAUCUUUAAAUCCGCUCGUGAUGGGGAUUGACGGUUGCAAUUUUCCGUCAUGAACGAGGAAUACCUUGUAAGCGCGGGUCAUCAUCCCGCGCUGAAUACGUCCCUGCCCUUUGUACACACCGCCCGUAGCUCCUACCGAUUGAGUGGUCCGGUGAGGCUUUGGGAUCUGAGCGGAAAGAGCGUUUCGCUGUUUCUGCCCGGAAAACUCAGUCGAACCUUAUCAUUUAGAGGAAGGAGAAGUCGUAACA